GAAGGCUAUUGCGUGAAGGCUUCAGCCUGGUUCAAGUAAUCCAGGAUAGGCUGUUACCAGGCAGUACGGCCUAUUCUUGAUUACUUGUUUCAGGAGGCGGCCCCUUGUCACAUUGAUACCA
rnacentral:precursor_RNA from 11 species